rnacentral:rRNA from 1 species
UCUGGCCUGCCCAGUGAUCAUUUUUAACGGCCGCGGUAUUAUGACCGUGCAAAGGUAGCGUAAUCACUUGUCUUUUAAAUAAAGACCCGUAUGAAAGGCAAAACGAAAGUUCAACUGUCUCUUUAAUCUUAUCCGUGAAAUUUAUCUCUCCGUGCAGAAGCGGAGAUAACCAUAUAAGACGAGAAGACCCUAUGGAGCUUUAAAUACAAAACCAACUACAACCACAUUUUAGCCAACAGGCAAAAAAUUAAUAAAUGUAAUCAUGGUUUGAAUUUUCGGUUGGGGCGACCACGGAGCAAAGAUUAACCUCCACGACAGAUAAUUUAGAAUAACACUUCGAAAAUUAAAACAUUUAUUUUAAUGAUCCACUAAGUGACCAACGAACCAAGUUACCCUAGGGAUAACAGCGCAAUCCUUUCUAAGAGUUCAUAUCGAGAAUGGGUUUACGACCUCGAUGUUGGAUCAGGACACCC